UACCAGCACCCCGAGUGGUCGGGACGAUUAUUGGGCCUAAAGCAUCCGUAGCCGGCCUUACAAGUCCUCCGUUAAAUCCAGCUGCUUAACAGAUGGGCUGCGGAGGAUACUAUAAGACUAGGAGGCAGGAGAGGCAAGCGGUACUCAGUGGGUAGGGGUAAAAUCCGUUGAUCCAUUGAAGACCACCAGUGGCGAAGGCGGCUUGCCACAAUGCGCUCGACGGUGAGGGAUGAAAGCUGGGGGAGCAAACCGG
rnacentral:rRNA from 1 species